CACCAACUAGACCUUGCAAUUCUGUCUGAAGAAAUCUACUGCUUAUCAGGACCUCUAGACUGUGCCUCAGAACCUGGAAGGUAGGGGGGUCAAUACAGAUGUACUGGUACGCAGAGCAGAUCCAAAAUACUAGUUUAUAUUCAACAUAUAUGAUAGCAAUUUAAAACAGUUCAUAAACAUAUCAGAUAGUAAGAAAUCUCAUGGGCAUUUUCGAAAGACUCUGUAAAAUCAUCUGAACUCUGUGACACUCUUUGUUUUACUUCUGCGCUAGAUGGUAUACCUUACAACUCUGAAAUUCCACGGGCUAUAUGGAAUCCGUCAUUGACUCGGCGGGGAAGCCUUCAACCCAAGUGUGCCGCAAGGGUUGGAUUCUCUGACUCUGCUACGCCACACGGCCGUCGCCAGCGUAAAAAUAAUCUACUUGGAUCAGCAAAUCACGGUUUUAGGCUAAGAGUUACUUGAACUCUAGUCCUCUUCGGGUAACCACCUAACCCUCUUUAAGCCCAGUUUUUACUCUUUAAAACAUGUAUUCUCUGAAAUCAAACUCUGAAAACAUACUCUGUUAUGGCAUACAUACUUAUGGUAUCGUCAUACAGUUGACUUGCAAGUCACAUCUCUGAGCCAUUAAUAACAUAUUAUAAUCUCUUCUUUCAAAACAUAAGUUUGGGACCACCAUAUCAAUAAACCAACUCAAAGAAACUUUCUCAAACCUCAUGUAAACACAUGCAAGGAACUCUCUUUGUCAAGCAUUUCAAUAAUACAAGGUGGUCAUGUCAAAUUUCUCAAUCACAUGCAACUCUUUCUCAUUUAAACAAGGGUGUAAUUAUAUCAAGAAGCUCCUUCUCAUCAUCUCAAAAUCAUGCUUGAACACUAAGGUAUUGAGAAAACUAGUUUCAAAACCAUAAAUCAUGCAUUUCAAAUCAUUCACAAUAAGAUCAUAAACUUGAAUUUAUCACAAGAGAGGACUUCAUAAUCUGUGCUCUCAAACAAAUCUUAAAUUUCAAUUUCAUACAUAUACAUAUACUUGUAAAUCAAUUUAAGGGGAUGAUGCCUAAAGGCCAAAACAACAAUAUCAAUAACAUGCAUAAAGCAUAAUAAAAAUCAUGGAUUUCAAACCCCUUUAACAAAUUCAUGCUUUAUAAUCUUUGAAUCAUAAUUGAGUGUUUUAACAAGCCCAUGCAUUUUUAGGAUAAACCCUACGUACCUCAAUUUAGAAAUUUGAUGGAUGAUUCUUAAAGCCUACGGUUUGGGAAUUCCAAAUCUUAACUCAGUUUCGAAAAUCCACAGUUGAAUCUUGAGUUAAUUGGGUUUUUAGUUUGAAACCCUAGAGAGUGUUCUUGUGAAUUUUUGGAGAGAAUAUGAAUAAUGUGGUUACUUGAGAGUAUAAUCCCGUGUUUAAGCUGAUAAGGGGUGGAAUAUACGUAACAUACCCUUAAUGAGACGAAAUAAAAUAUAACUGGGAGUCCAAUUUUAUGGGCCACCACGACGCGCCACAAUUGCGGUGGCUCAAUGAAAAUUGAUGAAUGGGAUUCUUAGGGUCACCGCGACGCAGAGCCAUCGCGUAGUCCCACUGGUUGGGACCUGAAAUUUCAGCACGACGCGCCACAAUCGCGCUAGGCUACUGGAAUUUAACAAUUGUUAAAUAAACCCCCUCCGCGACGCGCCAAGCACAAAAAUAACGGUGUUUUCGACUAGGACUUAAAUUAGCCAUAAUUUCUAACCCGGGUAUCGAAUUUGGGCGAAUCUUAAAUUGGCGGAAAGCUUAUCAAAUUUCCCAUGUGAUGAAAAGUCGAAAUUAGGAAAUAUUAAUUUUCUAGUCUUUAACUCUAAGAGCAUAUUACCACGAGCUAACUCAUGGAUGAUGCAGGGUGUUACAUCGCAUUAACCAGUUGGCACACUAAGCAUUUAGCCACAUACUCAGCGACAUUCUCACUGAUCUUGCUUUUGCUUUUGCUGAUUCAGUGGUUGCCAUGAAGGUUGGAAUUGAAGGAGAGCCCAUGAAAGUAUUUGACAUCCCCAGAAAUUGGUGAAAUGAUCUUCUUGGAUCAUAUAUUGGAGAAGCCAGUCUUGGUCUGUAUGGUAUUGUUUAGGGAAGGCCUUGACACAUACAACCACCCCACCUCAAAGAGGCUGGCUGCUGAUAACCAUCUAGCACCAAGACUUUUAGUGGUUGGAUCCCAUUUGGUAACAAGGCUAAAAAUUAUUUAGUUGUGUAGAAUUUGAAAGCAGUAGUUUGGGAAUCAAUUUAAUUGGUGGAAAUUGGGAGUUGCUUCAAGUAUACACCUUCGUAUAAGUAAUGUAGUGUCCCGAGAAUCAGAUGUCAAACUCACAUGGAUUUGUGAUUUAACUAUUUAUUAAAUUAAAUUAAUGCUAAUUAUUUAUUCAAGUGGUAAAAUUCAAAGAUAUAAUUAUCAACUAACUAAAUACAAAAGGAAAUAAAUAAUGAAGAAUUAAUUAGAUGAACAGUAAAUUUUAUGUAUCAUUAAAUGAAAUUGAUAUAAGGUUAUGACCUAUCUAACAAUCACGUUGUAUUCUUCAAUUGGCUUACCUAUUGAUUUUUUUUGAGUUAUCAGUUGCAGCUUUCUGGUUGAUAUCAUUUAUUUGAACAUUUUGCUAAUAACUCUAAGACUAUUCGACUAUUCUAACGCCUUAUUUCUAUGGUCAUCGGUUAAUAGUGAAGUACAUGUAUGUUUCUUUUGUAUCAACCGAACAAAGAUUAAAAGGUAUAUUCCUAUCCACAUUGUUGGAUUUUACGAGUUAUGAGUCGCCCAUGUGACCCGAUCCGAUCAAUUAUUCUCUUUUUUGAUUAUCUGUAAAAAGAAGAUAAUAGGGAGUAUAUUAUGAAUUUGAAAAAGAGGGAACAGUUACUAAAUAACAGUUCAUCCGCGCCCAAUUUCCCCAUUUAUAUACUGCUACUUCUUCUUCUUCUUCAGAUAGAGUAUGAGAAAAUUAAGAUUUCUUGAGUACAAAAACUUACAUCAAGAACAAAACACCAAAGUUAGCAUUUAGCUUAUGAAAUUCAAGCUUUGUUUCCAAGAGAUUCAAAGCAUACUUGGGGCAGAUUUUUCAACAACAACAACAAACCCAGUGUAUUCCCACCUGGUGGGGUCUGGGGGUAGGAUGUACACAGUUCAUACCUCUACCUCUGAAGAAGUAGAAAGACUGUUUUCGAUAGAUCCCCGAAAAAUUAACCAAGUACACACUGUUUUGCUCCGAAUUUGAUAACAAUGACAUUAAAGUCAGGUUUAGUUGCCUUAAUUUUACAUGUAUUACCUCGAGUUUAAUAUGAUAAACUCUUGAAAUUGUGUAUUAACAUACCCGUGAGACAAUAAUUGCGUUAUGGAUUCCUCAGGCGCCCACAAAUUGAGUUUUAGAUCUGGCAAUUUUUUUCUUUUCUCAAAAUUCUGUUUCUAUAGGAUUUCUCCUUCGUUGAAUUUACAGUUUUUUUAAGCUCCGCUCAUCAACGCGACAACGCCACCUUAUGCUCUGCUGCUGUGUAUUAAGGUCCGAUGCCACAUCGUAUGAUUGGACCAAUAUACAAGUUUAUUGUUAAAUGUAAUCGCAAAAAAAUGGCUCCGUGAAGGAAUUGAAAAUCCAUACUCAGAAUAUGCAGGAGGCGUGAAGAGAGGAAAUCAUGUGUGUUGUUACCGUGCAGACACUUGUGCCUAUGCACAGUUUGCAGGUGCAAAAGUAAUAGAAUGUUCUGGAGAUUUAGUGUUUUGAAUUGAUAAAAGAGAAUAAUAUUAAAAUUAGGCUUCACUGGGAUGAACCAUGAAUUUUUUUUUUUC
rnacentral:lncRNA from 1 species